CUCUUUCCCCAGGGGCAGCUGCGGCACCUGGCCCCGCCCUGCUCUGGACUUCUCCAGCCUGGGCCUCCCCCACCCCGCCCCCUCCGGUGCCUCAGGCUGCUCUGCACCCGUGGGACUGGCCUCUGUCCCAGCUAAACAGUGUGCCCUGGAGCUCAGGCAGGGAUGAUACCCCAGACCGAGCUGGAAAUCAGAAACAGCCAAACCCAGAGCAGCAGGUGGAGAUCCAGAAGAAGAGACCGAAGCCAGAGACUUUGAAUAAGACUGAAUAGAGACCCAAAGCCGUGGAGCCCAGGACACUGCAUCCCCCUGGUGAAAAAGGCGCAGGAACCAGACAGGAAGUCCAUGCAGCUCAGGCUUUAAUAGACAGAACGAGGCCUGUGAAGUGUCGCUUCUGCUGAAGGACUGCAGGUGCCACUCCCGCCUCUUCCCCAGGACCUGGGACCUGAGGCAGCUGCAGGUGAGGGAGCGCCCUGUGGCUUUGGAGGCUGAGCUGGCCCUGACACUGAAGGUCCUGGAGGUCACCGCUGACGCUGAUCCGGCCCUGGGGGAUGUCCUGGACCAGCCCCUUCACACCCUCCACAACAUCCUCUCCCAGCUCGGGGCCAGUGUCCAGCCUCAGCAAGGCCCAGGCCCCGGGGCCGCCUCCACCACUGGCUGCACCAGCUCCAGGAGGCCCCGAGGAAGAUGAGAGACCCGGGUCCUUUGGGUCCUGGGGGAGGAUGGCAGGUGCACGAAUUAGUGUCUCCCCAACAGAGUUCUGGGGCUGCUCGUGCCUCCACUGUCUUGAACCUUCCCCUUCCCUUCUCCUUUUUUUUUUUUUUAAGAGAGACAUACACUAUCACCCAGGCUGGAGUGCCGUGGUGAGGUCCUAGCUCACUGCAGCCUCUAACUUCUGGGUUCAAACGAUCUUCCCUCCUAGCCCUCCCACAUCACUGGAAUUAUAGGCAUGAGCCACCACACUUGGCCUUUUCUGCCUCUCUAUUUGGGACCUGAAGUGUGUGGUCAGUGGAGACCCGUGUGUCUGCCCCUGAGACCCACCUGCCAUCUGUCUGUUUUAGUCUGUUUUCUGUUGCUUACAACAGAAUGUCUGAAACUGGGUAAUUUAUAAAGAAAAGGAAUUUAUUCCUUACAGUUCUGGAGGCUGAGAAGUCCAAGGUCGAGAAGCCUCAUCUGCUGAGGGCCUUCUCGCUGGUGGGGACUCUGCAGGGUCCUAAGGUGGUGCAAAGCAUCACAGGGCGAGGGCACCAAGCAUGCCAACUCAGGUCUGUCUUCCUCUUCUUAUAAAGCCACCAGUUGGCUCACACCUGUAAUCCCAGCAUUUUGGGAGGCCAAGGUGGGUGGAUCACUUCAGGUCAGGAGUUUGAGACCAUCCUGGCCAACAUAGUGAAACCCUGUCUCUACUGAGAAUACAAACAAAUUAGCUGACUGUGGUGGCUCAAGCCUGUAAUCCCAGCUACUCAGGAGGCUGAGGCAGGAGAAUCGCUUGAACCCUGGAGGUGGAGGUUGCAUCGAGCCAAGAUCAUGGCACUGCGCUCCAGCCUGGGUGACAUAGCGAGACUCUGUCUAAAUAAAUGAAUAAAUAAAUAGAGCCACCAGUGCCACCCUCAUAGUAACACAUCAACCCAUUAAUCCAUUAGUCCACGAAUCCAUAAUCCAAUCACCUCUUAGAGGCCACACCUCUUAAUUCUGCCACACUGGGGAUUCGGUUUCCACAUGAGCUUUGGAGGAGAUAAAUAUUCAAACCAUAGCACCAUCCAUUACCUUAGGUAUGUAUGCACCGACUACCUUGCCUACAUUCCACCUCCAGAUCCCUAUUUGUUUGUGAAGCCCCCCAAAAAUGUUUGCUCUUGUUCUUUUUAUACAAUUUGUGACAACAAACAAUGAGAAAAGUAAUUUGUCUGUGACAUUG